GAGUGAGUGAGCGUGAUUGCGGAACGCGCCGGGCGAGUGAAUCCGGCGAGUGGGGGAGGUUUGGAGAUGGUGGAGGAGAUGGAGAAGAAGCGUUUGGGGAAGAAUACGGAGGAGGAGAUGGAGAUUGAUCGGACGGUCAUGAUUGAACGAGCGAGUGCGGCCGCCAUUGAUGAAAUGGAGAAACGGGGGUUUAGGGUUUUUGGGGAGAUGGAGUGGGGUGGAUAGC
rnacentral:lncRNA from 1 species